AAAAGAAAAGAAAACAACACCCAAAGAGAAUGACACAGAGACAAGGAGGAAAUCAAUGUGCUGGCUAGUUAUUUUGUCAACUGACACAAGCUAGAGUCAUCGGGAAGAGGAAACUUCAACUGAGAAAAGGCCUCCAUCACACCGGCCUGUAGGCAAGCCUGUGGAGCAGUUUCUUAGGAUUGGUGUGUGCAGGGCUCCCUUCCCCUGGGUAUGCGGUCCUGUGUUGUAUAAGGUAGCUGAAUGUAAUCCUGGGAAGCAAGCAGUCAGCAGUGUUCCUCCACGGUCUCUGCUUCAGUUCCUGCCUCAGGUUCCUGCCAUGACUUCCCCCAAUAACUGAAUGUGAUCAAAAUAUGUACACCAAAUAAACCUUUCCUCUGCACGCUGUUUCUGGUCAUGGUCACAGGAACAGGAGGCUAACUGGGACAAUCAGGCUUGCAGGCUGGAGUACUGAGGGUAGGUAGGAAAGCAGCUGCAAAAGCCAAAGAAGAACACAGCGCUCGGCACACCGUGAGUGCGAGGGAGAGCACAGUGCUCGGCACACCGUGAGUGGGAGGAGAGCACAGUGGUCGGCACACCGUGAGUGGGAGGAGAGCACAGUGCUCGGCACACCGUGAGUGGGAGGAGGAGGACACAGUGCUCGGCACACCGUGAGUGGGAGGAGGAGGACACAGUGCUCGGCACACUGUGAGUGGGAGGAGAGCACAGUGGUCGGCACACCGUGAGUGGGAGGGAGAGCACAGUGCUCGGCACACCGUGAGUGGGAGGGAGAGGCAAGGGAGGCACCUAGUGCAUGUUCUUGCACGACCAUUUGAUAUCACUGUGGUCUGGAAAUCCCAGUAUAAGAUUCUGCCAGUCAAGGAAACUGUAACAGAAGACAAAUGCCAGAGAACAUGCACCGCGUAUUUAUAGCUGAUGGUGAAAAUUUACAAAAUGACCCACAGGGAUUGAAGUCAGGGCCUCACAGAGGCUGGGCCGUCACUAUCACUGAGCUAUCCCCGACACUUUUUGUUUCUUUGAUUUUUGAGAUAUGGUCUCAUUCAGUUGCCCAGCAGGCCUUAGACUUGUGACUGUCCCCCUUCAGCCUCCCAGGUAGCUGGGCCGACGGGUCUGUGCCACUAGGACUGGCUGUGUUGUUGCUGAGAGGAGGUUUCACUCUGUAGCCUGGGCUGGCAUCCAACUCAUGGCACUCCCACUAUUUCAGUCUCUCAAGUCUGGAAUUAUAGGUGUAAGUCACUCCACCCACGGAGGCAGUCGACUAACAAAUUAUAGUACAUACUCCUGGGGUACAGCAUUAUACAGUCUUCUGAAAAGAUUUUCUGAAAAACACACAAUAUGGGCAGAAGCUCACAACAUCAUAAUGAGUUGAUUUUUAAAAAGCAUGGGAAAAAAGUAGGUAUAAAAUUGAUUAAAAUCUUCAAAAAUAAAAAAGAAACAGGUGGGAAAGAACUUUAGAUGCUAACAAUGGUUACCAAUGCAUGGAAAGAUUAUGAAUGCUGUCUAUCUCUCUACCUCAGCGUUUGUUUUUGUUUUGAUGAGUGUUCUGUCUGCAUGUACGCCUGCAGGCCAGAAGAGGGCAUCAGAUCCCAUUGUAGAUGGUUGUGAGCUGCCAUGUGGUUGCUGGGAAUUGAACCUGGGUCCUCUGGGAGAGCAUCCAGUGCUCUUAACUGCUGUGCCAUCUCUCCAGCCCACCAGGUUUUUUAAUAAAUGGUCUUGCUAUGUAGCCCAGGUUGCCCUCAAACUCCCAGUGUUAAGAUUAAAGGCAUACAUCAACUACCACACCAGGUAUUGUUUAUUUUAUUUUUUAUUUUUUGGUUCUUUGAGACAGGGUUUCUCCAUGUAACAGUCCUGGCUGUCCUAGAACUCAUUCUGUAGACCAGGCUGGCCUCAAACUCAGAGAACCACCUGCCUCUGCCUCCCAAGUGCUGGAAUUAAAGGCAUGCGUCGCCACCGCCUGGCUUAUUUCUUGAUUAUACUUCUCUAAGUUUCCCAAACUCUUAUCUGCCAACAUGUUGUUAGUCACAGUUCAUCGGUGCAAUUAAAAACUCAAGUUAGGAAAAAAAAAAAAAAAAAAAAGAAGAA